rnacentral:tRNA from 1 species
GGAGAAGUGGCUGAGUGGCUAAAAGCGUCUUCCUGCUAAGAAGAAACGGGUGUUUAAUACCCGUCGCAGGUUCAAAUCCUGUCUUCUGCU